UACGGGGGGGAGCAAGCGUUGUUCGGAUUUACUGGGCGUAAAGGGCGCGUAGGCGGCGCAACAAGUCACUUGUGAAAUCUCCGGGCUUAACCCGGAGCGGCCAAGUGAUACUGUCGUGCUAGAGUGCGGAAGGGGCUACUGGAAUUCGUCGUGUAGCGGUGAAAUGCGUAGAUAUCGAGAGGAACACCUGCGGCGAAGGCGGGUUGCUGGGCUGAUACUGACGCUGAGGCGCGAAAGCUAGGGGAGCGAACGGGA
rnacentral:rRNA from 1 species